rnacentral:misc_RNA from 1 species
UUAAUUCAUAUUAUUUAAAAAUGAAACAAUUUUAUUCCUCAAGUUUGAUUUCGUUGCUUAUCCACUCAAAAGUCAACGAUUUAAGACGUUAGUCAAAGAAAAAUAUGACACAAAAUCAUCAGUUCCAAAACUGCUUCUGUUGCUCAUGGCGUAAGAUUGAAUAUCCUACUCCUGAAGUAGACACCUGGAUGUCGUCUCCUCCUCCAAAGGACUGGGUUAAGA